rnacentral:rRNA from 1 species
CCUACGGGAGGCAGCAGGGAGGAAUAGUGGUCAAUGGACGGAAGUCUGAACCAGCCAUGCCGCGUGCAGGAAGACGGCUCUAGGAGUUGUAAACUGCUUUUGUACAAGGGUAAACCGGAAUACGUGUAUUCAGCUGAAAGUACGGUACGAAUAAGGAUCGGCUAACUCCGUGCCAGCAGCCGCGGUAAUACGGAGGAUCCAAGCGUUAUCCGGAUUUAUUGGGUUGAAAGGGUGCGUAGGCGGCUUGAUAAGUUAGAGGUGAAAUGUCCGAGCUUACCUCGGGAACUGCCUCUAAUACUGUUGCUCUAGUGCGUAGUUGCGUUAGGCGGACUGUUUGGUGUAGCGG